AUCGACAUUUUGUGCAGACUAGAGAUCAAUCGCAGGUUUCAUUCAGAUUGAGCGGUGUUCAUAUAAACCGAUCAUCUCUUGAUCGGAUUGUUGUGAUUGGAGCUUCAUUGAGCGGUGAAGAGGUAAACCACAUGCUACUUGACCGGAGAAGGCUUGAUCGGUAUUUCAAGCGGUAUUCAUCUACACCGGUCACCACUUGACCGGAUUAGGGUUCUGACUCGUUCAGCAGGUUUAGUCUCAUGAAGCUGACAGGUUUAAGGUUCAAGCUCAAGUGACCUUGUUUGAUUUAAAAGAUUUGUAGCAGAAAGGCAUGACAGAAAAGGAUUUGCUGGCUGUUUGCUAUUAUGUGUUUCAAUUUUGAGUGUCCAGUCUGGUUGGUUCUUUUGACUGCAUCAUCAUAGAGGCUGUCGAGUACCUGAUGGUAUUCAAACAGUCUUGAUUAAUUUUCAAAACAGCAGCAACAAUCUCAAAACAACAAUCUCAACAACAGUCAUCAGCAACAAGAAGAAAGCAGAAACAACAUGUAGCAUUGUGUGUGUGAACAAGUAGCAUCUGUGGUGUCUGCAUAGCAACAACCAUUUUGACAGCAACCAUCUUGACAGCAGUUCCAGUUCUGGUAAUAGACGGUUUAACAGAAGAUUUAUCUGUGUUUGCAAUUUGUAGACUGGAUCACAGCAGCAGGUUUAUGCUACUUUUGUUAAACAUAACAGUUUUUGUUGUUGAUUAGUGAUGUGUUUGUGAGUUUGAGUACUGGAACAGCAACAGAUAAAAUCUGCAUAUUGUCCGGAUUAGACUGCAGCAGCUCAGCAGAUCGAACAGCAGGUUAAAUUGGUCAGCUUCUGUAUUUCAAGCUUAAUUCAAGGUUCAUAUCAGAUAGACAGAAACAGAAGAAGAUAACAGUAGCAUUCUUACACUGUUGUUUAGACAGCACAAGAACAGCAGCAUUCUUACACUGUUUGUAUUUGACAGUAAGAAUUAUGUUUUAAUAGUAAGAAUUUUGUUUUCUUUGACAGGUUGUUUUGACAG